rnacentral:misc_RNA from 1 species
UCGGCUUUCUUCUCGGAGAUCCGAGACCAACUUUUCCAAGGGAAGGUUCCAAUUCAAGUUGCAGACAGAUGGGAAUCUCGUGCUUACGACCGUAAACUUGCCAACUGACAGUGCUAACUAUCCUUACUAUGAAAUUCGCAGAGGUGAUCCUGGUUUCCAAGUAGUCUUCAAUGAAUCGGGCUACCUGUAUUUGUCGUCAGUGAAAGGCAAUAUAUUUCCUCUAACACAGAGAGUGACAACCCCAUGGACAACAUUUUAUCACAC